CAGUCGCCGCGGGAAUACGAAGGGUGCAAGCGUUAAUCGGAAUUACUGGGCGUAAAGCGUGCGUAGGCGGUGAGUUAAGUCUGCUGUGAAAUCCCCGGGCUCAACCUGGGAAUGGCAGUGGAUACUGGCUCGCUAGAGUGUGUCAGAGGAUGGUGGAAUUCCCGGUGCAGCGGUGAAAUGCGUAGAGGUCGGGAGGAACAUCAGUGGCGAAGGCGGCCAUCUGGGACAACACUGACGCUGAGGCACGAAAGCGUGGGGAGCAAACAGGAUUAGAUACCCCCGUAGUCCCUGUCUCUUAUAC
rnacentral:rRNA from 1 species